UUCUGGAUUUAUCCCAUUUCAGUCCAAACCAUGGAAAUGCCACAUUUAUCCCAUUGCACCCCAAACCACAACAGAAUUUCUGGAUUUAUCCCAUUGCACCCCAAACCAUGGAAAUGCCACAUUUACCCCAUUGCACCCCAAACCUCAGAAUUCCCAGAUUUAUCCCAUUGCACCCCAAACCAUGGAAAUCCCACAUUUAUCCCAUUGCACCCCAAACCUCAGAAUUCCAAAUUUAUCCCAUUGCACCCCAAACCACAACAGAAUUUCUGGAUUUAUCCCAUUUCAGCCCAAACCAUGGAAAUCCCAGCACCCCAAACUACACCAGAAUUCCCAGAUUUAUCCCAUUUCACCCCAGAUUUCCCCCAUUUUCCCAAACCCCUGGGCUCAGGGGGGGUUCCCCUUUUCCCCCAUUGGAUUUGAUCCAGUCUGGCUUCCAUGGAUCUGCCCCUGCUGGUGCUACAGCCCCCCAAAAACCCCCUGGGGACCCCCAGCCCUCCCCCAGGGUGCCCAAAGCAGCUUCAGAAUUUUAAUCUCAUUUUGAUCUCUUUCUUUAUUUUUUUAUUCCCUUUUUUCUACUUCUUUUUUUGACUCCUUUAAUUUUUAAUUCCGUUUUCCUUCCCUUUUAAAUUUAAAUUUUUUAAAAUUUUGUUUUUAUUUCCUUUCUCUGUUUUUAUUACCUUUUUGUUUCUUUAUUACAUUUUUACUUGCACUUCUUUCUUUUUUAAUUCAAUUUAUUUCCUUUUUAAUUUCCCUUUUAACUUCCUUUAUUUUUUUUCCCUUUCCUUUCUUCUAUUCCAUUUUAAUUUCAUUUUUUGUGUUUUUUAAUUCCCAUUUUAACUCCACAUUUAAUGCCACCAAGUGAAUCCAAAGCUUCUCCCCACUAUUAUUCAUUUUUCCUGCUUUUCUGCAGUUUCCCGGGACGAUGCUGUAUUUAAAGAGAAUAUUUAAGUGGAAAAAUAAAAAGUGGUUAAACUUGGCUUGGAGUUGUGGC
rnacentral:lncRNA from 1 species